rnacentral:lncRNA from 1 species
GAUAGAUCUGUUGCUGGGUUUGAUGGUGCACGCCGAGACAGGAAGACUUGGGUGGAGGCUGGCAUGGGCAACAGGGUGAAAUGUUGGCUCAAACAUAAACCGGACCUCAAGAUAUGAGUUGCCUAUGUGGCACCACAAGCCAGCAGUGGCUGUCAGAACAUCCCUGUCGGUUUUCGUUACUAUGACAAGAAAAACUAUGUUCUGGACAGAGGAGAUACCCGCUUAGGUGUGGACACUGCUUAUACCAGCUGUGGACAGUUGAGCUUU